AGAUGACAUACUGCUCACAGUGAAGCUGUUGGAGUUUGAUUGAUACAUAAACUGGAUCUUAAUGAGCUCUUAUAGUGGAUAUUGACAGCAGUUGGUCCAUUAUAGGAGUAGGAUGUGUAUCAAAAUGAGAUCUAUCGACUUUGAUAGAAAGAAAUAGUCCAUGGAACUUGAGAGGCUAAGUCUGAGAAUUUGUGAUUAUAGUAGUGUGAUUGAUGAAAAAGAAUUUUCAUAGAAGUCACAACUGGACUUAAGCUAAUUGAAUCUAUCAUAUAACUAAUGUUGAGAUUUGACGAUUUAUCCAUGACCUGCCAUCUAGUCGGGACUCAUGAUAGA
rnacentral:lncRNA from 1 species